UGGGGAAUUUUGGACAAUGGGGGAAACCCUGAUCCAGCCAUCCCGCGUGUGCGUUGAAGGCCUUCGGGUUGUAAAGCACUUUUGUCUGGAAAGAAACGCCAUUGGUUAAUAUCCCGUGAAACUGACGGUAUCUGCAGAAUAAGCACCGGCUAACUAUGUGCCCGCAGCCGCGGUAAUACGUAGGGUGCAAGCGCUAAUCGGAAUUACUGGGCGUAAAGCGCGCGCAGGCGGUUCGGAAAGAAAGAUGUGAAAUCCCAGAGCUAAACUUUGGAACUGCAUUUUUAACUACCGGGCUAGAGUGUGUCAGAGGGAGGUGGAAUUCCGCGUGUAGCAGUGAAAUGCGUAGAUAUGCGGAGGAACACCGAUGGCGAAGGCAGCCUCCUGGGAUAACACUGACGCUCAUGCACGAAAGCGUGGGGAGCAAACAGG
rnacentral:rRNA from 1 species